rnacentral:rRNA from 1 species
AUGAAAAGUUCAUACCAUACCGAAACCAGAAACCAUAAAAACAAAAAAAUCGGUUCGGUUCGGUUUAUUUUCGGUAUGGUUUUUCGGUUCGGUUUUAAAAUGCACAGAGUGAGCAGUAAUGGCGGCCAUCUCCUUCUGCUCCGAGGAGAGGGUGACCCCAAGGACUUUGGAGUGCGAGGAGGCCAUGGCGUGCUGCAGAGAGGAGAAAGGGAUCGGAGAAGGAUGGUUGCGGCUAUUGUCGAGUUGAAGGGCCUAGCUUGGACAAGAAGGAACAACAUUGGAGCAUUAUCAAGCAUGAAGAUGAAGGCGCGCGCGAAGAGAACAAGAACAUAG